GAUGAACGCUGGCGGCGUGCCUAAUACAUGCAAGUCGAGCGAACAGACGAGGAGCUUGCUCCUCUGACGUUAGCGGCGGACGGGUGAGUAACACGUGGAUAACCUACCUAUAAGACUGGGAUAACUUCGGGAAACCGGAGCUAAUACCGGAUAAUAUUUUGAACCGCAUGGUUCAAUAGUGAAAGACGGUUUUGCUGUCACUUAUAGAUGGAUCCGCGCCGCAUUAGCUAGUUGGUAAGGUAACGGCUUACCAAGGCAACGAUGCGUAGCUGACCUGAGAGGGUGAUCGGCCACACUGGAACUGAGACACGGUCCAGACUCCUACGGGAGGCAGCAGUAGGGAAUCUUCCGCAAUGGGCGAAAGCCUGACGGAGCAACGCCGCGUGAGUGAUGAAGGUCUUCGGAUCGUAAAACUCUGUUAUUAGGGAAGAACAAAUGUGUAAGUAACUAUGCACGUCUUGACGGUACCUAAUCAGAAAGCCACGGCUAACUACGUG
rnacentral:rRNA from 1 species